GACGAACCGUGCGAACGUUGUUCGGAAUCACUGGGCUUAAAGGGCGCGUAGGCGGGCACGCAAGUCAGGGGUGAAAGCCCACGGCUCAACCGUGGAAGGGCCUUUGAUACUGCGUGUCUGGAGGGAGGUAGGGGCGUGCGGAACUUCCGGUGGAGCGGUGAAAUGCGUAGAUAUCGGAAGGAACACCGGUGGCGAAAGCGGCGCGCUGGACCUCAUCUGACGCUGAGGCGCGAAAGCCAGGGGAGCAAACGGG
rnacentral:rRNA from 1 species